CUCAAAGGCCAGGCUACAGUCACAAGAAAGGCAGUGACAGUCAGUGUUAUACUCCUAUAUAGGCUUUCUGGUGUUUACAUCUGCAAGAAAAUUCUCCAUACUGCUCCCACCCUGCCUCCUAUCUUCCCAGAGCAGCUGACACCAAGUGUAUGUGGCACUGGAUCCUUAGUCAUCGAGGGGAACAAGGCUGACAGCAGAGGUUGAUGCCUGCAGAGAAAACAGUAACCAGCUGAUGCUUCAAACAGCAGCUGCAGCAUCCUCAAAUUCACUGACUCCCACUCAGAGACCUUGCCUGGAUCCAUCAACACGCAGCAGACAGGGCACGUGCAUCCAUGGAGAAGCCUCCUCUAGGCAGAGAGAGAACUGACCAUGGGUAUAUGGAGGUCUUUGUCCCACUGAGACCAACAAGGACGGAGAGCCUGCAGACCGUGUCACUCCUGAGUCCUCUUUCUCCCUGUCACAAGCCUCAACACAGCACAGCACAAGAAGCUCAGUCAAGUGCAUGGAGGAAAGAACACCCUGCGUAGGAAGACCUGCUACAUGGAGGCAGACUGAAUUGCUAUAUACCUCAAGCAGCAGACAAUUAUAGACGCUCACAGAAGUCAGUAAAUCACAUUCUGCUUAGAAAACCACUCUGGAG
ensembl:lncRNA